UGGUCCCCACCUGGGCCUCACCCAGACCUGGUGACUGUGGUCCCCACCAGGGCCUCACCCAGACCUGGUGACUGUGGUCCCCACCUGGGCCUCA
rnacentral:miRNA from 1 species